CCUACGGGAGGCAGCAGUGGGGGAUAUUGCACAAUGGGGGGAACCCUGAUGCAGCGACGCCGCGUGGGUGAAGAAGCGCCUCGGCGCGUAAAGCCCUGUCAGCAGGGAAGAAAAUGACGGUACCUGAAGAAGAAGCCCCGGCUAACUACGUGCCAGCAGCCGCGGUAAGACGUAGGGGGCGAGCGUUAUCCGGAGUUACUGGGUGUAAAGGGGGCGCAGACGGCGAUGCAAGCAAGGAGUUAAAGCCCGGGGCCCAACCCCGGUAGUGAUCGUGGCACUGCGUGGCGUGAGUGCAGGAGGGGCAGGCGGAAUUCCUGGUGUAGCGGUGAAAUGCGUAGAUAUCAGGAGGAACACCGGUGGCGAAGGCGGCCUGCUGGACUGCAACUGACGUUGAGGCCCGAAAGCGUGGGGAGCAAACAGGAUUAGAUACCCCAGUAGUC
rnacentral:rRNA from 1 species